GACGAACGCUGGCGGCGUGCUUAACGCAUGCAAGUCGAACGGGCUGCCUGGUUUUCGGAUCGGGUGGUGAGUGGCGAACGGGUGAGUAACACGUGAGUAACCUGCCCCUCUCUUUGGGAUAACGUCGGGAAAUCGGCGCUAAUACCGGGUAUUCUGGCUUCCUCGCAUGGGGUUGUUGGGAAAGGUUUUUUCUGGUGGGGGAUGGGCUCGCGGCCUAUCAGCUUGUUGGUGGGGUGAUGGCCUACCAAGGCGGUGACGGGUAGCCGGCCUGAGAGGGUGUCCGGCCACACUGGGACUGAGACACGGCCCAGACUCCUACGGGAGGCAGCAGUGGGGAAUAUUGCACAAUGGGCGGAAGCCUGAUGCAGCGACGCCGCGUGGGGGAUGACGGCCUUCGGGUUGUAAACCUCUUUCAGUGCAGAACAAGGCUCUUUGUGGGUUGAGGGUAUGCGCAGAAGAAGCGCCGGCUAACUACGUG
rnacentral:rRNA from 1 species